GCCGUUGCCAUGGGGUGCCGCCCACGCGGCUGAGAUGAUACCCAUCGACCUGAACUGGGUAAUGCCAGCGGAGGGACGGCGCAUGAUCGACAC
rnacentral:ncRNA from 1 species